rnacentral:rRNA from 1 species
GACGAACGCUGGCGGCGUGCCUCAGACAUGCAAGUCGAACGAUUAAAGCUCUCUUCGGAGAGUGCAUAAAGUGGCGCACGGGUGAGUAACACGUAAGUAAUCUACCUUCGAGUGGGGAAUAACGUCCGGAAACGGACGCUAAUACCGCAUAACGCAGCGGCAUCGCAAGAUGACAGUUGUUAAAGAUUUAUCGCUUGAAGAGGAGCUUGCGGCAGAUUAGCUGUUGGUAAGGUAACGGCUUACCAAGGCUACGAUCUGUAUCCGGUCUAAGAGGACGGUCGGACACACUGACACUGAAUAACGGGUCAGACUCCUACGGGAGGCAGCAGUCGGGAAUUUUGGGCAGUGGGGGAAACCCUGACCCAGCAACGCCGCGUGAAGGAUGAAGUAUUUCGGUAUGUAAACUUCGAAAGAAUAGGAAGAAUUAAUGACGGUACUAUUUAUAAGGUCCGGCUAACUACGUG